rnacentral:lncRNA from 1 species
GGCUCUGAGCUUCGAAAAAGAAAACCUGUACAUUUUUUAAGAGAGUGAAGAAAAUUAUUUUUCUCCUUAUCUCUUUUUCAGAAAUAGCUGAGACAUAUGCCCUAAAACUUAAAAAACAAGAGAGGGUGAGAAAAAAUCAACCCAAGAGCAUUGAUCUAGAGUUCUAAAAGCAAGACUAAAAAUAUGCCUUCAUGAAAACGUGCCUACAAAAGGUGACCCUUCUUGUUUUGGCUUUAAGUUCAUAAAACUGAGGCAGAGACAGGGCGUAUGUGCCUGCAUUCACAAAGUAAUUCAUGAACUAAUGAGAGUUCAGAUCUGAAAAAGAACUUCAAGCUUGCAACUCAGACCUGUAACUCCCAGUCCAGUAAAUCACCAUGGCUUCUGCUCUUUCAGAGCUACGCUUUGUCUGAAGGAAUGAAAACAUGCCCAUGAUGUUUAACAACUGAAGUAUUCAUUAUUUAGUAACAAAAAUUUGGCAACUGGCAUGCCUAAGGGUGGGGAAAGAUUCAAAUGAGUUUUGAAAUUCCAGACUCUUUUAUUCCAUAGCAAUACAUUCCUUUGGCACCUACAGCUUUUCCCACGAACAGAUGAUGAGAAAGAGAAUGAAUCACGUACGAAGAUUUUAGCCACAACUCUUACUGCACCAUUAGAGCACGCCAGCAUUAUAAAAGUCAC